UACGUAGGGUGCAAGCGUUGUCCGGAAUUAUUGGGCGUAAAGAGCUCGUAGGCGGCUUGUCGCGUCGACCGUGAAAACCCGCAGCUCAACUGCGGGCUUGCGGUCGAUACGGGCAGGCUCGAGUUCGGUAGGGGAGACUGGAAUUCCUGGUGUAGCGGUGAAAUGCGCAGAUAUCAGGAGGAACACUGGUGGCGAAGGCGGGUCUCUGGGCCGAUACUGACGCUGAGGAGCGAAAGCGUGGGGAGCGAACAGG
rnacentral:rRNA from 1 species